rnacentral:rRNA from 1 species
CCUACGGGAGGCAGCAGUGAGGAAUAUUGGUCAAUGGUCGGGAGACUGAACCAGCCAAGCCGCGUGAGGGAUGAAGGUACAGAGUAUCGUAAACCUCUUUUGUCAGGGAACAAAGGCGGGGACGUGUCCCCGGAUGAGUGUACCUGAAGAAAAAGCAUCGGCUAACUCCGUGCCAGCAGCCGCGGUAAUACGGGGGAUGCGAGCGUUAUCCGGAUUUAUGGGGGUUAAAGGGUGCGCAGGCGGUCUGUUAAGUCAGCGGUCAAAGCCCGGGGCUCAACCCCGGCCCGCCGUUGAAACUGGCAGUCUCGAGUUGGAGAGAGGUAUGCGGAAUGCGCGGUGUAGCGGUGAAAUGCAUAGAUAUCGCGCAGAACUCCGAUUGCGAAGGCAGCAUGCCGGCUCCACACUGACGCUGAGGCACGAAAGCGUGGGUAUCGAACAGGAUUAGAUACCCGAGUAGUC